rnacentral:rRNA from 1 species
AGAGAGAGACAUGCGCGCAUAUCAAUAAGCGGAGGAAAAGAAACUAACAAGGAUUCCCUUAGUAACGGCGAGUGAAGCGGGAAGAGCUCAAAUUUGAAAUCUUCAAGGUAUUACCUUGACGAAUUGUAGUUUAAAGAAGUGUUUUCUGCUGAAGUUUUGGUAAAAGUUCUUUGGAAUAGGACAUCAUAGAGGGUGAGAAUCCCGUAUUUGACCAUUAUUUUCAGCUUUGUGAUACACUUUCAAAGAGUCGGAUUGUUUGGGAAUGCAGUCCAAAAUGGGUGGUAAAUUUCAUCUAAAGCUAAAUAUUGGCGAGAGACCGAUAGCGAACAAGUACCGUGAGGGAAAGAUGAAAAGAACUUUGAAAAGAGAGUUAAACAGUACGUGAAAUUGUCAAAAGGGAAGCGUUUGACACCAGUGUUGUUUUCUCGAAAAUCAAUUAAAAAUGGCUCGAUUUUGUAUUGCUUGAGACCUUAAAAGCUCACUGUACAUUUUUCGUGUCUUUUUUAAUGCACUUUUCGUUUAACAAGUCAACAUCAGUUUCUUUUGUUGUAAAAGGGUCAUUGGAAGGUGGCUUUCUUUUCGGAGAAAGUGUUUAUAGCCUUUGGCCUCUGCAAUCGGAGAGACUGAGGUCUGCAGCGUAGACUCUUCGGGGUUAGAUACAUUUGUGCUAAGUUAUAGCUUUUUAUAGACAACUUGUUGACUAUAAUUAGUCUUGUAGCUUACUCGCUUAUGCUAUUUUACCUACGCUUAGGAUGUUGAAGAUGUAGCACAUCAU